CAGAUGACUCCGUGAUGCUGGCGGACCCCCGACCUGGCAGCAUCACGGAGUUUCCA
rnacentral:sRNA from 1 species